UCUCUCCUUGCUGAAAAUUUAGGUGCAGGAAAUAUGGGAAUCAAUGGCGCCGGCUUGGUUCGUCUACUAGUGAAUAGCAAGUCGAUUUGGAAGUGUUGAGUUCUUCCACUUAGACAGAAAGGUUUCAUGCUCUCCUCGUCGGCCCGUGAUUUCUCCGACGUGGGCUACUCGCCGGAUGACCUGACAUCUGACGAUAAGGAACGCAGGCGGGCUCGGCUUGAAUGCGUUUUCAGACAUGCCCUACGAUGAGGUCAAGAAGAGGCGCUCUGGACAUGAACUUUACCCAUUGCCGCCAUCGAACAAUAAUAGGAACAAGAAAAGGAAUGGCUCUCUUAAAAAAUCAGGCUUGGGAUCGGAUCAACAACACCAAACGAUGAUGGGAUUCGAAGAACAUGUUUAAGGAGAGUAAUUGGGUAUGUAUGAGUUCUUGGUUUAGUUUUGUCGUGUUCAUUUUGCAGCCUUGUCACUUCUACAAAAUAAAGGGUAUUUAAACCCGUGUUAUCAUGUUUAGCACCGCACGUAAAUAAUAGUU